AUAAAUGAUAACAAUAAGAAUUAAAAUUUCGAGAGAUAAAAUCCGUAUAACAAAUUAGUACAACCAAAAGUGAGAUACAAAAACCUAAGAACUAAGUCUAAGGCAAUAUAACUUCUAGCAACAGAAAACACAUAAAGAAGCAAAUCAAUCACAUAAAGAAGCAAAUCAAUAAAUGAAACAGUUUUCUAUACAAGAGAGUUUCACUGUGAGACAUGUAAGGAACAAAACUGAUGUUACUUGGUUAUCACCUGGUUCAACUAACUGGCUCUAAUAACGUUCGGUACUCUGUUUCAGU
rnacentral:lncRNA from 1 species